rnacentral:rRNA from 1 species
UCCUGGCUCAGGACGAACGCUGGCGGCGUGCUUAACACAUGCAAGUCGAGCGGUAAGGCCUUUCGGGGUACACGAGCGGCGAACGGGUGAGUAACACGUGGGUGAUCUGCCCUGCACUUCGGGAUAAGCCUGGGAAACUGGGUCUAAUACCGGAUAUGACCUCAGGUUGCAUGACUUGGGGUGGAAAGAUUUAUCGGUGCAGGAUGGGCCCGCGGCCUAUCAGCUUGUUGGUGGGGUAAUGGCCUACCAAGGCGACGACGGGUAGCCGACCUGAGAGGGUGACCGGCCACACUGGGACUGAGACACGGCCCAGACUCCUACGGGAGGCAGCAGUGGGGAAUAUUGCACAAUGGGCGAAAGCCUGAUGCAGCGACGCCGCGUGAGGGAUGACGGCCUUCGGGUUGUAAACCUCUUUCAGCAGGGACGAAGCGCAAGUGACGGUACCUGCAGAAGAAGCACCGGCUAACUACGUGCCAGCAGCCGCGGUAAUACGUAGGGUGCAAGCGUUGUCCGGAAUUACUGGGCGUAAAGAGUUCGUAGGCGGUUUGUCGCGUCGUUUGUGAAAACCAGCAGCUCAACUGCUGGCUUGCAGGCGAUACGGGCAGACUUGAGUACUGCAGGGGAGACUGGAAUUCCUGGUGUAGCGGUGAAAUGCGCAGAUAUCAGGAGGAACACCGGUGGCGAAGGCGGGUCUCUGGGCAGUAACUGACGCUGAGGAACGAAAGCGUGGGUAGCGAACAGGAUUAGAUACCCUGGUAGUCCACGCCGUAAACGGUGGGCGCUAGGUGUGGGUUCCUUCCACGGAAUCCGUGCCGUAGCUAACGCAUUAAGC